rnacentral:rRNA from 1 species
CAGUCGCCGCGGUAACACGAAGGGGGCUAGCGUUGUUCGGAAUUACUGGGCGUAAAGCGCACGUAGGCGGACAUUUAAGUCAGGGGUGAAAUCCCGGGGCUCAACCCCGGAACUGCCUUUGAUACUGGGUGUCUAGAGUAUGGAAGAGGUGAGUGGAAUUCCGAGUGUAGAGGUGAAAUUCGUAGAUAUUCGGAGGAACACCAGUGGCGAAGGCGGCUCACUGGUCCAUUACUGACGCUGAGGUGCGAAAGCGUGGGGAGCAAACAGGAUUAGAUACCCCCGUAGUCCCUGUCUCUUAUAC